UGUGUGUAGGAGACGUGAUGGGAAUACACACAAGCUGUCUUUGUUUUCUUCACCUUUUUAGCUUUCAUCGCACAUCAGUUGCCCCAUGUAUCCCUUUAGUGCCAAAUUCUAUUCGGUGUUUCUGUUUUUUUUAUUGGCUUUAAAUAGGGUUUAUGUACCCGGCUCCACAUGUUCUGCUAUUCGCAUAGAUAAACAGUCUCUUAAACACCGGAAUUCAAAUUUGUGUUUGCAAAACCCUCUGGCCAUAUCUUUCUCCGUCAGAUUUCCCUGUAAUUCUGCUCUUUUAUUUACUAUAAUACCCACAAAAGUCAUUUUACCAACCUCUUACAGGAUUCUGUGGAAAUUGGAACAUUUUUAUUUGCUGAUUUUACACAAUCUUGAAAGUUACACCAUUCCCCCCAAAGGAUCCACAAUUUCCCCUCCGUUUUUGUCCCUUACUCUAUAAAAGUACACUCAGACAGAUUGCAAGUAGAAGAGCGCUUGUGUGGCCUGUUCGGAAACUUUACAAGAUUCUCAGGGUUGUAGUUUACCAACUUCAGGAGGGCCACAGGUCAGCCCAGCCUUGUGUACAGUGAAUGGGCAGUUGUUUGUAUGGCUCGCCUCUAAGUCAGCUGAACAAAUCUGUUUAAUUAGGAGAAAGUAACUUAUACAUAGAGCCCUUGAUAAUGGGGGCAGCUUCUGCGUUGUCAUUUCAGCAGUGGAGUUGUGUGCCCAGAUUUGUGGGUUAGUGUGUAGAUGCAGUAUGUUGUCUCUAUGCUGCAAGCUGAGGCAGGCCUGGCCUUGGUAUCCCUUUAUUUGUCUAAGUGCCAAUCGAGACUCCUGAGUCAUGUUUUUUUUCUCUUGCUUCCUCACUGUGAAGCUAUAGACUCACCCUGAUUUUCAGGUGAACGUUGAAUUCCAAUGUGUAGAGGUGUAUUCACAAAACCACAAUUCUCGGCUAGUCUGUAAUUUGUGAUUCAAUUGUGCCAUAUUGAAUGUAUAUAGGGACUAACCAGUAGCAGUGAACUAGUUUUCAAGAUUUCAUACUUGGAUCUGUACAUGAAAGCUUACGGUCUAUAUUACCAACUGUGUACUUCUAGAAAGGUAUGCAAAAUAUGCUAGUGUUCGGAUUAGAUUUUAUCCAGCCCAUAGUGCUUGUUCAAAGUACACUAGGGAAUGUAAGAGUUAAUUUGUGAUGGCGCACUAUUACAUUGUAUAGCACAAGGGUUAACAGAAUUAUGCUUAUGUGGAAGUCUGUCGUUCAGAAGUCUGCAAAUACAAAAUAAUGUAUUGGCAUCUGUAUUAAAU